GGAGGCUGCCAUUUUUUUCUACCAGACUAUAUAUAUAACCGCUGAUUUGAUUGGAUAACUCUAUUUCCGGGAUUUCCGAUCGGCCAAUCAGAUAGUCGUUAUCAUUAAUACACGGAAUGUGUUCAAAUUUGAAACUAAAAAUAUUGUACGAGUAUGUAUCCUGUCCAGCAUUGUCCAGCUGUGGUUACAUUAAUCAUGUUAAUAAUAAUUAAUACUCAACAAACUUCGAUAAAUAAAGAAAUAGACAUUAAAGGCAGAACAUUUAGGUAUGACAUUAGCUGUUGAACCAAGAAUUUACGAUGAGACGAUGUGCUGAUGUAGGGCAGACGUACAGCAGAUACAGGUUGUCCAUAUAUAUUAAAAGGGAUUGAUCAUGGUGAAGGUACAAAGCUGCAAAAAUGAUGACUGUGCAUCGAUCAAUAUCCACUCAAUAAUAUGAAAACACGAUGAAAACAAACGAACCAGCAGCAGAAAAGAAAUUUGAGUAUAAGAUUAUUGAAAGAUUAAUCAAUGAAGACUUAAUGGAACAGGAUUGGAAUGCAGAAACUUUGGACUUAAUUCAUGAAUAAUAUCAAUGGAUGAUGAAGAAAACUGACCAAACUGACAAAGUAUUUCGUAUGCAUGUAAACUGGACAUUUUUGUUUGGUUAAUGCACAAUAAACAAAUUUGUAAAAUUGAAAAUUAAAACCAUUUGUGAAAGAUUUCAAGAUGACCAAAAGUUACCAUGGACUUAUGAAUGAUUUAACCAGAAAAAUGAUUUACAUGUACAAUUAAGUAAAUACAUCUUUGCAGUUAUAGGACAAACGCCAGAUUUUGAAUUUCUUCAGCAAAAUAGCCAGAACAUUAACCAAUUAACAGCAUUUAUUCAAACACUUGUUUAUUUGUCUCCACAGCAGGGAAUCUUCUGAUUACCCCAAUAUUUUAGAUGACUGACCAGAAAUGACCACAUGUGUACUAUGGAACAGUACUUUUACAAUCCAUAUUAAUAGAUUGUUAUCAGAAUCAGCUAGUAGCAAACUCUUCUGACUUUUGAAUUUUAUAUACACAAGACCUCCUUUUUUUAAAUUAAUACAAGGCAAUUGAAACAUUCUCAUUUGAAAACUGAGUAUUUGUGUUUAGUAUUUUAUUUUUAUAUUUAAGCGUAUAACUAAAUCUUCAAUACAAAUAUGAAUAAGAAAUGACUGAUUUUGUAAAAAAAAUUUUGUAUACUGGAAUGAAACUUGAGAAGUUAUAGAAUUUGAUAUUCUCGUACCACAGGCACACUUUGAAAACGUUUUCUCUAAAUAAUGGUUGUAAAAAAUCAAACACAAGUUUUAAAACUUUAUAAAGUAGUUCAAAAUUCAUUACAAGUAUGUCUUUCACCAAAAACAAAUCUUGACAUUCUUAAUAUUUCCAGAUUUACAAUUUAUUAUUUGUCUAGCCUGCAACUAAAGUCGCCAAAGCUAGACAUAACAAUCCUUCUAUGGGAACGGAUUUAUGUAAGUUCAUCUUGUUUCCAAAUCCCUGUAUUUCUUUUGUAUAAUUGUAAUUUGAGCACUUUUGAAAAAUAAAAUAUUGAUUUGAAAUUAAACUAAUCCUUCUCUAGUCGUGUCAUCAACAUUUAGAUGCAUUCUUUGGUUAUUUUCUUUUUUAAAACGUCAACAUUUUUGUUAAACCUUCACAGAACUUAUUUAACUGACAGACGCUUCUUCUAUACAAUGACAGCAUCAAGAGAUUUUUUUUUUCUUUUUUCAAUAUUUUACUGUGAUAAGUUUUUUUGCACUAAUGUUUUUAUAAAUUAACUCUUUACAUUAAAACUUUGAAUUUUUCUAAAUACUAAGGAUUUUUUAUUUCAGGAAUAGAUUACCUCAGCUGUAUUUUGCAAAAUCUUUUGGAAUUUUGGGUCCCCAAUACUCUUCAACUUCGUACUUUAUUUUGGUCUUUCAACAUUUUUGAUUCGUGCGUCACUGAUCAGUCUUUUGUAGACUAAACGUACAUCAGAUGUUCAAAAUUUGAUGCCUGGUAUUUAUGAUGACUUUAUUUAGAUACAGUCAGAUGUUUUAGUUUUUCUUAGACAUCUAUAAUUUUGUCGAAGCAUCAUUGAAUGAUAUUAUAAAUUAGGUUCUUCAAGAUCAAGAGUAAAAUAUAAAACAAUUGUAUCAAUUUUCCUUAUUUUAUUGAUAAAAGGCUUUUUUGGAGUUAAUAUUUAGAUUUAGUCUUGGGUUAAAGUUUUCCAAACAUCAAUAACUUAAUGGAAUUUUAUGAACAGAGACAGAAUUUUCAUCAUGACCAAAACAAUGGCAACUUAAGAAUAAAGUUUUUGGUUUUUUUUUUUUAUUUUACUGUAACUUUUCUGUAUUUUGCUGAUGAUUAGAACUCUUUUUGUUUAAUAAACAUUUUGAUACCGUUUAGGGUUAAGUUAACAAAAUAUCAAUAACCUUUCUCAAACCUUCAUUUUCAGGAAACUUUAAAAGAAGAUUCUUCAUACUCAAUAAAUACAUGCAGAAUAAAAUUUUAAAUUUUCCACCCAUUCUUUCGUAAUUUAAAAAUAAAUUGUUUUUUUGGCAGUCAACUUUUUAGGUAUAUUCUGUUGUGAAAGAUUUUGAAUAAUUUUGCCAAACCUUCAUAUAAUUUUACAAAACUUUGGCUGAAGCUUCUAAAUAAUUAAGAGAUUGAACCCUGAGCAAAUUUUGAUUUAUUUUCUAGAUAACCAUGUAAAUACAAAAUAUUUUCGAAUAAUUUAAAUUCCAGACUUAAAACAAGGUCAUAUUCAGAUGUAGAUACUCCUAAUGGUGCCUUGGUGCCACCCCUUUUCAAAAUCCUUGAAUCGCAAUUAAUAUGCUUGUGUCACUAUUAAUUUAGUAAUUCAUUUCUGUAACUAAUUUCAAACAUAUAUACAAAGAACUCCUUAAUCAUAUAUAUAUAUACAUUAUUAACACAUGUGUUGUAUUCCUUGAACAGAUUUCACUCUAUAAGGUCCUAUAAAAUAGUGUUCUUCUACAAAUUCUGAAUUAAACAUUUGUCUGUGUGGUCAGUGGUCUGAUUACCAUGGUCACAGAUAAAUGUUUCAUACCCAUUCAUCUGACUAUCUGAUCUCUACCAGUAGGGAGUCUGAUAAGAGGUUGUAAUAUGUUGAAUGGAUUAAUUAACAUCAAUAAAUUGUGCAAUUUGAUAUCUCCUAAAUUUUAGGAUGAAAUUUGGCGUUUGUCCUAUAACUGUUUGACUAAAAAAUGAUAAUUUAUCAACGUUAAUAUUUUAAAGAGGUUGAUCUUUUCGUUUAAAAGGUCUUAAAUGUGGAUGAUGUAUAAACUGUUGUAAUUUCUUUAAUUGUUGACUUGCAUUAAAAUGGUUAUUGUCUUA